GACGAACUGUCCUAACGUUGUUCGGAAUCACUGGGCUUAAAGGGCGCGUAGGCGGUCCGACAAGUCAGGGGUGAAAUCCUGCAGCUUAACUGCAGAAGUGCCUUUGAUACUGUCGGUCUGGAGGGAGAUAGGGGUGUGCGGAACUUCCAGUGGAGCGGUGAAAUGCGUUGAUAUUGGAAGGAACGCCGGAGGCGAAAGCGGCGCACUGGAUCUCUUCUGACGCUGAGGCGCGAAAGCUAGGGGAGCAAACAGG
rnacentral:rRNA from 1 species